GUGCUUGCUUCAGCAGCACAGAUACUAGAAUUGG
rnacentral:snRNA from 1 species